rnacentral:rRNA from 1 species
UACAGAGACUGCGAGCGUUAUUCGGAUUCACUGGGUUUAAAGGGUGCGUAGGCGGUCAGAUAAGUCAGUGGUGAAAGCCCGCGGCUCAACCGUGGAAUUGCCAUUGAAACUGCCUGACUUGAAUAUAGUUGAAGUGGAUGGAAUACAUCAUGUAGCGGUGAAAUGCUUAGAUAUGAUGUAGAACACCAAUUGCGAAGGCAGUUCACUAAGCUGUCAUUGACGCUGAGGCACGAAAGCGUGGGGAGCGAACAGG